UACGGGGGGGGCAAGGCGUUGUUCGGAAUUACUGGGCGUAAAGGCUCGUAGGCGGCCAACUAAGUCAGACGUGAAAUCCCUCGGCUUAACCGGGGAACUGCGUCUGAUACUGGAUGGCUAGAGGUUUGGGAGAGGGAUGCGGAAUUCCAGGUGUAGCGGUGAAAUGCGUAGACUAUCUGGAGGAACACCGGUGGCGAAGGCGGCAUCCUGGACCAACACUG
rnacentral:rRNA from 1 species